rnacentral:ncRNA from 1 species
CUGUUUGGAGGAGGCGUCGAUCCGGGUCGUCCACACCGAUCCCAUCCGGGACACGGAGACAGCGGUCACCUAGACGGCUCGGGGAGCAAAUGGUGAGACCGGCCCCCGCAGGG